UCCUACCGCACUGAUACACACAAGCCCACUAAGAUACAGGGAAAGAAUGUAGUGCCAAGCUGUUAUGAAGAAAGCAGGACACACGGAAGCACAGCAGUGGUCAUGUGAUUUGAGAGGUGUUCUUCCCUUAAACCAUCCCAUCACCAUGCUUAUUUGAAAGAAGCCAGGAAAAGAUUCCUUUUCAAUGCUGCAGUAGCUACGAGCCCCCAGCUUGAAGCUAGUGUGUGGAAUUUUGAUCACCGUUCCCUGCGAUGUCAGGGGCUCUCCAGUGGAAGCCGGAUGUGUAACACCAGUUAGUAAGGUUGUCAUAUAGUCGUGUUCAACUCUGUGUGCUCAUUUUUCAUUAUAUUACUGCGAAGGAGGAAGACUUCAGAAAAACACUGUGGUUUUUCUAACUAGGAGGCUGUGGAGAGGCGAGACGUGGCCUGAGCACGAGGGGAUUCUGAAGGAGUAGUGCUGAGGGACGCUGUGUCUCGUGGGAGCACCUGAACACCACGAGAAAUGAUGGAGUCUGGGAUCUGAAGAGGAACAGACAUGCUAUAAUCUGAAAAUGCCAACAACAUUCAUUUUCAACCAUCUUCACCACCUGCUAAAAGUUGACAAACCAUUUAAUGUUCUCUGGCUUCCAGUAGCGCUCAGUCUGUUGGAAGGAGCUGGCAGGAUGGUUAGAGGAACUUAAGGUGUAGUAUUUACU